CUGAGGUGAGAUGGACAGAUAGGGGAGCUGUUGAUGAAAUAACAGGACAAAAAAGAGAAGAGCUCCACCAACAAAUGGACAAAAUGCCACCAGUCUAACAAAACACAGCUCUGUGUGUUCGCCUGGCUGGAGGAGAUGGAGAAGAAGAAAUGAAAUUGGACUUUCUUUUCUGUUUGGAGAAAGCCUGCUCUACCUGCAUCAUCACCACCACCACCACCACCACUACCACCACCAACACCCCGGCAGCCUGCUCUACCUGCAUCAUCACCACCACCACCACCCCGGCAGCCUGCUCUACCUGCAUCAUCACCACCACCACCACCAUCAUCACAACCACCACCACCACCACCCUGGCAGCCUGCUCUACCUGCAUCAUCACCACCACCACCACCCCGGCAGCCUGCUCUACCUGCAUCAUCACCACCACCACCACCCCGGCAGCCUGCUCUACCUGCAUCAUCACCACCACCACCCCGGCAGCCUGCUCUACCUGCAUCAUCACCACCACCACCACCAUCAUCACCACCACCACCACCCUGGCAGCCUGCUCUACCUGCAUCAUCACCACCACCACCACCCCGACAGCCUGCUCUACCUGCAUCAUCACCACCACCACCACCCCGGCAGCCUGCUCUACCUGCAUCAUCACCACCACCACCACCCCGGCAGCCUGCUCUACCUGCAUCAUCACCACCACCACCCCGGCAGCCUGCUCUACCUGCAUCAUCACCACCACCACCACCAUCAUCACCACCACCACCACCCCGGCAGCCUGCUCUACCUGCAUCAUCACCACCACCACCACCAUCAUCACCACCACCACCACCCUGGCAGCCUGCUCUACCUGCAUCAUCACCACCACCACCACCCCGACAGCCUGCUCUACCUGCAUCAUCACCACCACCACCACCACCACCAUCAUCACCACCACCACCACCACCCCGGCAGCCUGCUCUACCUGCAUCAUCAUCACCACCACCACCACCACCAUCAUCACCACCACCACCCCGACAGCCUGCUCUACCUGCAUCAUCACCACCACCACCACCACCAUCAUCACCACCACCACCACCACCCCGGCAGCCUGCUCUACCUGCAUCAUCACCACCACCACCACC
rnacentral:lncRNA from 1 species